rnacentral:rRNA from 1 species
CGAGCGUUGUCCGGAAUCAUUGGGCGUAAAGAGCGUGUAGGCGGCCUUUUAAGUCCUGCGUGAAAUCCUGCGGCUCAACCGCAGACGGUCGUGGGAAACUGGAAGGCUAGAGUGCGGGAGAGGAGAGUGGAAUUCCCGGUGUAGCGGUGAAAUGCGCAGAUAUCGGGAAGAACACCCGUGGCGAAGGCGGCUCUCUGGAACGCAACUGACGCUGAGACGCGAAAGCGUGGGGAGCAAACAGG